rnacentral:tRNA from 1 species
GGCGCGGUGGCCGAUCGGUGAGGCAGAGGUUUGCAAAGCCUCGUAAAUAGGUUCGAAUCCUGUCCGCGCCUCCA